rnacentral:tRNA from 1 species
AGGAUAGUAGUUAAAUAUAGCAUUUGAUUUGCAUUCAAAAAGUAUUGAAUUAUUUCAAUCUAUCUUA